AAAGUCGUAACAAGGUUUCCGUAGGUGAACCUGCGGAAGGAUCAUUACCGAGAUUGUCAGUUAACUCUGACGACUCCCCACCCUUGUGUAUCUUUGCUGAAAAGCAGCUUCGGCGGGCCGUCCAACCUCCUACGGGAGGGGCGACGUCGGCUCAUUGCGAGCGGAUCUGCGCCUGCCGAAGGACCAAACUCUUUGAAUCAUUUGAAGUCUGAUUAUAAACUUGAUAAAUCAAUCAAAACUUUCAACAACGGAUCUCUUGGUUCUG
rnacentral:misc_RNA from 1 species